AUCGAACGCUGGCGGCAGGCUUAACACAUGCAAGUCGAGCGGGCAUCUUCGGAUUUCAGCGGCAGACGGGUGAGUAACACGUGGGAACGUACCCUUCUGUUCGGAACAACUCUGGGAAACUGCAGCUAAUACCGGAUACUCCCGUAUGGGGCAAGGUUGAGUGCCGUAGGAUCGGUCGGCGUCUGCUUAGCUGGUUGGUCGGGUGACGGCCUACCAAGGCGAGGAUCAGUAGCUGGGCUGAGAGGAUGAUCCGCCACACUGGUGGUGAGACACUGCGGCGAAUCUUAGGCGAGGGAGGAGAGGGGGAUACAGCCAAGCGGGGGCUAGCAAGAUGCACCCAUGACGGGUGAGUGAUGAAGGGUUUAGGGAAGGAAAGUACUUUUGUACGGGGCGGUAAUGACGGUACCGGAAGAAUAAGCACCGGCUAACUUCGUG
rnacentral:rRNA from 1 species